rnacentral:rRNA from 1 species
GAUGAACGCUGGCGGCGUGCCUAAUACAUGCAAGUCGAGCGAACGGACGAGAAGCUUGCUUCUCUGAUGUUAGCGUCGGACGGGUGAGUAACACGUGGAUAACCUACCUAUAAGACUGGGAUAACUUCGGGAAACCGGAGCUAAUACCGGAUGAUAUUUUGAACCGCAUUGUUCAAAAGUGAAAGACGGUCUUGCUGUCACUUAUAGAUGGAUCCGCGCUGCAUUAGCUAGAUGGUAAGGUAACGGCUUACCAAGGCAACGAUGCAUAGCCGACCUGAGAGGGUGAUCGGCCACACUAGAACUGAGACACGGUCCAGACUACUACGGGAGGCAGCAGUAGGGAAUCUUCCGCAAUGGGCGAAAGCCUGACGGAGCAACGCCGCGUGAGUGAUGAAGGUCUUCGGAUCGUAAAACUCUGUUAUUAGGGAAGAACAUAUGUGUAAGUAACUGUGCACAUCUUGACGGUACCUAAUCAGAAAGCCACGGCUAACUACGUG